rnacentral:rRNA from 1 species
GUACACUCCUGCGGGAGGCAGCAGUGGGGAAUCUUGCGCAAUGGGCGAAAGCCUGACGCAGCCAUGCCGCGUGAAUGAUGAAGGUCUUAGGAUUGUAAAAUUCUUUCACUGGGGACGAUAAUGACGGUACCCGGAGAAGAAGCCCCGGCUAACUUCGUGCAAGCAGCCGCGGUAAUACGAAGGGGGCUAGCGUUGCUCGGAAUUACUGGGCGUAAAGGGAGCGUAGGCGGACAUUUAAGUCAGGGGUGAAAUCCCGGGGCUCAACCUCGGAAUUGCCUUUGAUACUGGGUGUCUUGAGUAUGAGAGAGGUGUGUGGAACUCCGAGUGUAGAGGUGAAAUUCAUAGAUAUUCGGAAGAACACCAGUGGCGAAGGCGACACACUGGCUCAUUACUGACGCUGAGGCUCGAAAGCGUGGGGAGCAAACAGGAUUAGAUACCCCUGUAGUCCCAUGA